rnacentral:rRNA from 1 species
UUACAUCAGCAGUCAUCUCCGUGAUAGAGUGUGGUCGGAGCCCGUCUUUCUUGCCAGGGCUCCCAGUGGGACAUCCUCCAAAACCUUGUGGCUAAUACACGCACGCCCAGGUCGGCCGUGGGAAAACGUCUGUCUCGACACAGCGGCACCGUCCGGCUCUCGUCGUCCUCUCGCAGGCGACGGCCGAUUGCGCCCAGCCGAUCGAAAGAUCAGCGCCCAUCCCAUGGGCAGCGUUUUCCUGGUGGCUGACUCAGGCUGGUCCCCCAACCCGUGGGGACGGUCGCCCUGGCAGAGUUUCGUGGGGUCCCCUCCGCGGGGCCCCCGGUGGCAUUGCUUGAUCACACGAACUUCUGACCUAUCAGCUGGGAUUGUGGUGUAGAGGACCACAAUGGCGAUGACGGGUAACGGAGAAUCAGGGUUCGAUUCCGGAGAGGGAGCCUGAGAGACGGCUACCACCGCCAAGGCGGGCAGCAGGCACGCAAAUUGCCCAAUGGAGAAACACAGUCCGAGGCAGCGACGAACCGUAGCAAUCCCGCCGGGGUUCUUCCCCGGUGGGACUUGGGAUGGAUGCAAUCCAAACACAGUGAUGAGUAUCAACUGGAGGGCAAGUCUGGUG